rnacentral:rRNA from 1 species
AGUGAACGCUGGCGGUAGGCCUAACACAUGCAAGUCGAACGGCAGCACAGUAAGAGCUUGCUCUUACGGGUGGCGAGUGGCGGACGGGUGAGGAAUACAUCGGAAUCUACUUUUUCGUGGGGGAUAACGUAGGGAAACUUACGCUAAUACCGCAUACGACCUACGGGUGAAAGCAGGGGAUCUUCGGACCUUGCGCGAUUGAAUGAGCCGAUGUCGGAUUAGCUAGUUGGCGGGGUAAAGGCCCACCAAGGCGACGAUCCGUAGCUGGUCUGAGAGGAUGGUCAGCCACAGUGGAACUGAGACACGGUCCAGACUCCUACGGGAGGCAGCAGUGGGGAAUAGUGGACAGUGGGCGCAAGCCUGAUCCAGCCAUACCGCGUGGGUGAAGAAGGCCUUCGGGUUGUAAAGCCCUUUGUUGGGAAAGAAAAGCAGCAGGUUAAUACCCCGCUGUUCUGACGGUACCCAAAGAAUAAGCACCGGCUAACUUCGUG